rnacentral:rRNA from 1 species
AUUGAACGCUGGCGGCAUGCUUUACACAUGCAAGUCGAACGGCAGCGCGGGCUUCGGCCUGGCGGCGAGUGGCGAACGGGUGAGUAAUGCAUCGGAACGUGCCCAGUAGUGGGGGAUAGCCCGGCGAAAGCCGGAUUAAUACCGCAUACGACCUGAGGGUGAAAGCGGGGGACCGAAAGGCCUCGCGCUAUUGGAGCGGCCGAUGUCGGAUUAGCUAGUUGGUGGGGUAAAGGCUUACCAAGGCGACGAUCCGUAGCUGGUCUGAAAGGACGACCAGCCACACUGGGACUGAGACACGGCCCAGACUCCUACGGGAGGCAGCAGUGGGGAAUUUUGGACAAUGGGGGCAACCCUGAUCCAGCCAUGCCGCGUGCGGGAAGAAGGCCUUCGGGUUGUAAACCGCUUUUGUUCGGGAAGAAAUCCUCUGGGCUAAUACCCCGGGGGGAUGACGGUACCGGAAGAAUAAGCACCGGCUAACUACGUG